UACGGGGGGAGCAAGCGUUGUUCGGAUUUACUGGGCGUAAAGGGCGCGUAGGCGCCUCCGCAAGUCAGUUGUGAAAUCUCCGAGCUUAACUCGGAAAGGUCAACUGAUACUGCGGGGCUAGAGUGCGGAAGGGGCAACUGGAAUUCUUGGUGUAGCGGUGAAAUGCGUAGAUAUCAAGAGGAACACCUGCGGCGAAGGCGGGUUACUGGGCCCGA
rnacentral:rRNA from 1 species